UACGAAGGGGGCUAGCGUUGCUCGGGAUCACUGGGCGUAAAGCGCACGUAGGCGGAUUCCUAAGUCGGGGGUGAAAUCCUGGAGCUCAACUCCAGAACUGCCUUCGAUACUGGGAAUCUUGAGUCCGGAAGAGGUGAGUGGAACUGCGAGUGUAGAGGUGAAAUUCGUAGAUAUUCGCAAGAACACCAGUGGCGAAGGCGGCUCACUGGUCCGGUACUGACGCUGAGGUGCGAAAGCGUGGGGAGCAAACAGG
rnacentral:rRNA from 1 species